CAGGAAGAGAAAGAAGU
rnacentral:sRNA from 1 species